AAUGAUACUUAAGGAGUCCAUUUAGAAUGUGCUGACACAGAAAGAAUGUGCAAAGCAACUUGCAGGGCAACGUAUAAACCAAUCUGCAAAAUCAGGAUGAAACAAUAGCUUGCUGAUUAAAGAAGCGAUACGGGUAACGGGAAGACAUGCUUAACGGUUGAACAAUAACGGUGUUAAUGCGCUGAGGCUGAUAAGUGGGCCAAAGGGUAGUCACAUUUGUAAUUUUGUAAUGAGAUUAAGGAAGAAUGUCUGCACCUCACAUGGGUGCAACUCACAAAGUUGUAAACAAGUAGGGUAUAAAAAAACUGUGCAAAGUGUAAUUCGGCACUCAAUCUAGCAGGAGCUGGUUGGGUCCGACUCUGCAGACUCGAAAAAUAAAGUUUACCGUUCUGCAAAUUGCUGAGACUCAGUGUGUUUCUGACAACGUGGGGGCUCGUCCGGGAUCCACUACGGCCGCGGUGGACACGAGGAAGGACAUCGGAGACGGUGCACCCCGCCGAGUUUGGCGGUCCCUGACUCCUUGCUCGUCGCUCCAGCGCGGCUUGAGCGAGUGAUAUCCGGACAGCGCAGAGCGGUAAACGGGGAGAAGGGGACAGUACCUGGUACUGGAAGUCCCCAGGACGCACCGGAAUUGCGCAGGAAGGGGUUACUCGCACAAACCCCACCUCUGGACUUCGCACUCCACCGAACUCAGCCCGGUGACUGGGUCCUGAUUAAGACUUGGAAGCCAGAGAAGUUACAGCCGCAGUGGGAAGGCCCAUUCCAGGUGCUACUGACCACCGAAGCCGCAGUAAGGACAAAAGAAAAAGGGUGGACCCACGCCGCGAGAAUCAAGGGACCCGUAAAGCCCGAAGAAGGUGCAGAAUGGACUUGCGUCCAGGGAGAAGACCCGAUGGUGCUAAAGCUCAAAAGACGGACAGAAUGAACUUUGGGACUGUAAUGUAUAUACUGCUAUUGUUGAGAAGCGCUGAAGGGGGAUGUGAUAAGUGCAGGACGACGGUAAGGGUGGGCAUGACGGUUUUUUUCCAGGGUCCUUUGUAU